CCCUUAGAUGUUCUGGGCCGCACGCGCGCUACACUGAUGCAUUCAACGAGUCUAAAACCUGCUCUGAUAGGGGUGGGUAAUCUUUUGAAUGUGCAUCGUGAUUGGGAUAGAUGAUUGCAAUUUUUCAUCUUCAACGAGGAAUGCCUAGUAAACGCAAGUCAUCAGCUUGCAUUGAUUACGUCCCUGCCCUUUGUACACACCGCCCGUCGCUCCUACCGAUUGAAUGAUCCGAUGAAUAUCAUGGAUUCAGGAUGCAAGUAGGUUCGCCUAUCUUCAUCUUCGAGAAGUGAAGUAAAUCUUAUCAUUUAGAGGAAGGAGAAGUCGUAACA
rnacentral:rRNA from 1 species